rnacentral:rRNA from 1 species
UACGUAGGGUGCGAGCGUUGCCCGGAUUUAUUGGGCGUAAAGGGCGCGUAGGCGGUCACGCGCGUCCGUUGUGAAAUCGCUCGGCUCAACUGGGCGAGGUCAGCGGAUACGGCGUGGCUGGAGCAAGCUAGGGGGCAAUGGAAUUCCCGGUGUAGUGGUGGAAUGCGUAGAUAUCGGGAGGAACACCAGUGGCGAAGGCGGUUGCCUGGAGCUUUGCUGACGCUGAUGCGCGAAAGCGUGGGGAGCGAGUCCGG